UGAGGAAUAUUGGACAAUGGGUGCAAGCCUGAUCCAGCCAUCCCGCGUGUAGGAAGACGGCCCUAUGGGUUGUAAACUACUUUUAUCUGGGGAUAAACCUACUUACGUGUAAGUAGCUGAAGGUACCAGAUGAAUAAGCACCGGCUAACUCCGUGCCAGCAGCCGCGGUAAUACGGAGGGUGCAAGCGUUAUCCGGAUUUAUUGGGUUUAAAGGGUCCGUAGGCGGACUGAUAAGUCAGUGGUGAAAUCCGACAGCUUAACUGUCGAACUGCCAUUGAUACUGUUAGUCUUGAGUAAGGUUGAAGUGGCUGGAAUAAGUAGUGUAGCGGUGAAAUGCAUAGAUAUUACUUAGAACACCAAUUGCGAAGGCAGGUCACUAAGUCUUAACUGACGCUGAUGGACGAAAGCGUGGGGAGCGAACA
rnacentral:rRNA from 1 species